AGCGUACACGGUGGAUGCCCUGGCAGUCAGAGGCGAUGAAGGACGUGCUAAUCUGCGAUAAGCGUCGGUAAGGUGAUAUGAACCGUUAUAACCGGCGAUUUCCGAAUGGGGAAACCCAGUGUGUUUCGACACACUAUCAUUAACUGAAUCCAUAGGUUAAUGAGGCGAACCGGGGGAACUGAAACAUCUAAGUACCCCGAGGAAAAGAAAUCAACCGAGAUUCCCCCAGUAGCGGCGAGCGAACGGGGAGCAGCCCAGAGCCUGAAUCAGUGUGUGUGUUAGUGGAAGCGUCUGGAAAGGCGCGCGAUACAGGGUGACAGCCCCGUACACAAAAAUGCACAUGCUGUGAGCUCGAUGAGUAGGGCGGGACACGUGGUAUCCUGUCUGAAUAUGGGGGGACCAUCCUCCAAGGCUAAAUACUCCUGACUGACCGAUAGUGAACCAGUACCGUGAGGGAAAGGCGAAAAGAACCCCGGCGAGGGGAGUGAAAAAGAACCUGAAACCGUGUACGUACAAGCAGUGGGAGCACGCUUAGGCGUGUGACUGCGUACCUUUUGUAUAAUGGGUCAGCGACUUAUAUUCUGUAGCAAGGUUAACCGAAUAGGGGAGCCGAAGGGAAACCGAGUCUUAACUGGGCGUUAAGUUGCAGGGUAUAGACCCGAAACCCGGUGAUCUAGCCAUGGGCAGGUUGAAGGUUGGGUAACACUAACUGGAGGACCGAACCGACUAAUGUUGAAAAAUUAGCGGAUGACUUGUGGCUGGGGGUGAAAGGCCAAUCAAACCGGGAGAUAGCUGGUUCUCCCCGAAAGCUAUUUAGGUAGCGCCUCGUGAAUUCAUCUCCGGGGGUAGAGCACUGUUUCGGCAAGGGGGUCAUCCCGACUUACCAACCCGAUGCAAACUGCGAAUACCGGAGAAUGUUAUCACGGGAGACACACGGCGGGUGCUAACGUCCGUCGUGAAGAGGGAAACAACCCAGACCGCCAGCUAAGGUCCCAAAGUCAUGGUUAAGUGGGAAACGAUGUGGGAAGGCCCAGACAGCCAGGAUGUUGGCUUAGAAGCAGCCAUCAUUUAAAGAAAGCGUAAUAGCUCACUGGUCGAGUCGGCCUGCGCGGAAGAUGUAACGGGGCUAAACCAUGCACCGAAGCUGCGGCAGCGACACUAUGUGUUGUUGGGUAGGGGAGCGUUCUGUAAGCCUGUGAAGGUGUGCUGUGAGGCAUGCUGGAGGUAUCAGAAGUGCGAAUGCUGACAUAAGUAACGAUAAAGCGGGUGAAAAGCCCGCUCGCCGGAAGACCAAGGGUUCCUGUCCAACGUUAAUCGGGGCAGGGUGAGUCGACCCCUAAGGCGAGGCCGAAAGGCGUAGUCGAUGGGAAACAGGUUAAUAUUCCUGUACUUGGUGUUACUGCGAAGGGGGGACGGAGAAGGCUAUGUUGGCCGGGCGACGGUUGUCCCGGUUUAAGCGUGUAGGCUGGUUUUCCAGGCAAAUCCGGAAAAUCAAGGCUGAGGCGUGAUGACGAGGCACUACGGUGCUGAAGCAACAAAUGCCCUGCUUCCAGGAAAAGCCUCUAAGCAUCAGGUAACAUCAAAUCGUACCCCAAACCGACACAGGUGGUCAGGUAGAGAAUACCAAGGCGCUUGAGAGAACUCGGGUGAAGGAACUAGGCAAAAUGGUGCCGUAACUUCGGGAGAAGGCACGCUGAUAUGUAGGUGAAGCGACUUGCUCGUGGAGCUGAAAUCAGUCGAAGAUACCAGCUGGCUGCAACUGUUUAUUAAAAACACAGCACUGUGCAAACACGAAAGUGGACGUAUACGGUGUGACGCCUGCCCGGUGCCGGAAGGUUAAUUGAUGGGGUCAGCGCAAGCGAAGCUCUUGAUCGAAGCCCCGGUAAACGGCGGCCGUAACUAUAACGGUCCUAAGGUAGCGAAAUUCCUUGUCGGGUAAGUUCCGACCUGCACGAAUGGCGUAAUGAUGGCCAGGCUGUCUCCACCCGAGACUCAGUGAAAUUGAACUCGCUGUGAAGAUGCAGUGUACCCGCGGCAAGACGGAAAGACCCCGUGAACCUUUACUAUAGCUUGACACUGAACAUUGAGCCUUGAUGUGUAGGAUAGGUGGGAGGCUUUGAAGUGUGGACGCCAGUCUGCAUGGAGCCGACCUUGAAAUACCACCCUUUAAUGUUUGAUGUUCUAACGUUGACCCGUAAUCCGGGUUGCGGACAGUGUCUGGUGGGUAGUUUGACUGGGGCGGUCUCCUCCUAAAGAGUAACGGAGGAGCACGAAGGUUGGCUAAUCCUGGUCGGACAUCAGGAGGUUAGUGCAAUGGCAUAAGCCAGCUUGACUGCGAGCGUGACGGCGCGAGCAGGUGCGAAAGCAGGUCAUAGUGAUCCGGUGGUUCUGAAUGGAAGGGCCAUCGCUCAACGGAUAAAAGGUACUCCGGGGAUAACAGGCUGAUACCGCCCAAGAGUUCAUAUCGACGGCGGUGUUUGGCACCUCGAUGUCGGCUCAUCACAUCCUGGGGCUGAAGUAGGUCCCAAGGGUAUGGCUGUUCGCCAUUUAAAGUGGUACGCGAGCUGGGUUUAGAACGUCGUGAGACAGUUCGGUCCCUAUCUGCCGUGGGCGCUGGAGAACUGAGGGGGGCUGCUCCUAGUACGAGAGGACCGGAGUGGACGCAUCACUGGUGUUCGGGUUGUCAUGCCAAUGGCACUGCCCGGUAGCUAAAUGCGGAAGAGAUAAGUGCUGAAAGCAUCUAAGCACGAAACUUGCCCCGAGAUGAGUUCU
rnacentral:rRNA from 1 species